rnacentral:rRNA from 1 species
UACGGAGGGGGCUAGCGUUGUUCGGAAUUACUGGGCGUAAAGCGCGCGUAGGCGGCUUUGUAAGUUAGAGGUGAAAGCCCGGAGCUCAACUCCGGAAUUGCCUUUAAGACUGCAUCGCUAGAAUUGUGGAGAGGUAAGUGGAAUUCCGAGUGUAGAGGUGAAAUUCGUAGAUAUUCGGAAGAACACCAGUGGCGAAGGCGACUUACUGGACACAUAUUGACGCUGAGGUGCGAAAGCGUGGGGAGCAAACAGG